rnacentral:rRNA from 1 species
GACGAACGCUGGCGGCGUGCCUAAUACAUGCAAGUCGAACGCACAGUUUAUACCUUAGCUUGCUACACCAUAGACUGUGAGUUGCGAAAGGGUGAGUAACGCGUAGGUAACCUGCCUGGUAGCGGGGGGUAACUAUUUGUAACGCUAGAUAAUACCGCAUAAUAUUUAUUAUUGCAUGAUGUUUAAUUGUAAGGUGCAAUUGCACCACUACCCGAUGGACCUGCGUUGUAUUAGCUAGUAGGUGAGGUAACGGCUCACCUAGGCGACGAUACAUAGCCGAACGGAGAGGGUGGGCGGCCACACUGAGACGGUGACACGGCCCAGACUCCUACGGGAGGGAGCAGUAGGGAAUCGUGGGCAAGAGACGAAAGUCAGACCAAGCAACGCCGCGGGAGUGUAGAAGGUUGUCGGGUCGGAAAGCUCGGUUGUCAGGGAAGAAAGGGGGUGAGAGUGGAAAGAUCAGACUGUGACGGUAUCUUACCAGAAAGGGACGGCUAAUUACGUG